GGAUAACCUGCCCUUGGGACCGGCAUAACCCCGGGAAACUGGGGAUAAUUCCGGAUAACGCAUAUAUGCUGGAAUGCUUUAUGCGUGAAAUGGAUUCGUCUGCCCAAGGAUGGGUCUGCGGCCUAUCAGGUAGUAGUGGGUGUAAUGGACCUACUAGCCUACAACGGGUACGGGUUGUGAGAGCAAGAGCCCGGAGAUGGAUUCUGAGACAUGAAUCCAGGCCCUACGGGGCGCAGCAGGCGCGAAAACUUUACAAUGCGGGAAACCGUGAUAAGGGGACACCGAGUGCCAGCAUCAUAUGCUGGCUGUCCAGGUGUGUAAAAUACACCUGUUAGCAAGGGCCGGGCAAGACCGGUGCCAGCCGCCGCGGUAACACCGGCGGCCCGAGUGGUGAUCGUGAUUAUUGGGUCUAAAGGGUCCGUAGCCGGUUUGGUCAGUCCUCCGGGAAAUCUGACAGCUCAACUGUUAGGCUUUCGGGGGAUACUGCCAGACUUGGAACCGGGAGAGGUAAGAGGUACUACAGGGGUAGGAGUGAAAUCUUGUAAUCCCUGUGGGACCACCUGUGGCGAAGGCGUCUUACCAGAACGGGUUCGACGGUGAGGGACGAAAGCUGGGGGCACGAACCGGAUUAGAUACCCGGGUAGUCCCAGCCGUAAACGAUGCUCGCUAGGUGUCAGGCAUGGCGCGACCGUGUCUGGUGCCGCAGGGAAGCCGUGAAGCGAGCCACCUGGGAAGUACGGCCGCAAGGCUGAAACUUAA
rnacentral:rRNA from 1 species